UACGGAGGGGGCAAGCGUUGUUCGGAAUUACUGGGCGUAAAGGGCGCGUAGGCGGCCUUCUAAGUCGAACGUGAAAUCCCCGGGCUCAACCCGGGAACUGCGUCCGAUACUGGAAGGCUUGAAUCCGGGAGAGGGAUGUGGAAUUCCAGGUGUAGCGGUGAAAUGCGUAGAUAUCUGGAGGAACACCGGUGGCGAAGGCGACAUCCUGGACCGGUAUUGACGCUGAGGCGCGAAAGCCAGGGGAGCAAACGGG
rnacentral:rRNA from 1 species